ACUUCCACGAUCUCUGUGCAGCCCCGGGCAUUCUGUGCCAGGCGCUGCCUCCGAGACAAGGACGUGAUGUCAUGGCCACACCCCCUAGUUAUUUCACGCCACGUUUAUGUCUAUGGGAGGAGACGUACUAUUUUUGUAGCUGUAUGUUAUAGUUUUUUGUACUUGCACCUCAUUUAUCAAAAAGGUGCACCCAGUAUGAUAAAUUAGGCCCAAGUCCACAGGUGUCAUGCAAGUUUGUUGUUCAAAGCCCUUUUUUAUGUACAUUGUUGAUGCACAGGAUUUGUAGUUGCAGAUUUUAUGCUGCAGAGUUCAGUGUAAACUAAAAAUGACACCGCUUCAAAUCCUGCAAAUCAAAUAUGCACUGGUGUGAAUACACCCUUAAUGGACCUCUCCCUAAAAAAGCAGAAAAGCCACUCUAUGAAUUAUACAGAAGAUGAGAUUUUUCUGUGUAGGUUUCUCCAUGAUAACCAUUUAAUGCAUACUAUACAUGCUAAUGUUGUUUAUGAUUUUCUUUACAUAAAUAAGGGACACCCAAAAGUCUGAAAGCUCAGUGCUACGGUGUAUUUGCAUUGUUACAUAAUAGUUCAUAGUUACAUAGUUCAGCUUUAGCAUCGGUCAAUACCUACUUUUUCUUCUUGCUGUGGUUUAUUUGUAACAAAGUCCACGGUUCCUGCUGCAACCAGUCUCUGGUUUUUAGUCCAGAUUACACUUAGGUUAACAUAAGAGGCUGAUGUCCUUUCCAUAGAAAGCAGUGCAAUUCUACAUGAAAGUCUAUAGCCUUUGUUGACCAGGGGAGAGUUUUGUGCAUAUAACAGAUCUGUAGUCAUUUGACCAUUCUCUUUCUACAUAGCAGUUCCAUUCAUGUAUCAAACUUAAAUUUUUUUAUUAUAUAUAUCGCAGUAAAUAUUAUCACCUCAAAUGCAGUUGUUACAAAACUUCACAUUAUUAUUUGUAAACAUUUUAAUAUUGUACAGCAAAAACAAAAUAAAACAAAAAUAUAGCCCGCACCUAAACCCAAUACAUGGGUGCACGCUGCUGUGGCAAGUACAAUAUUUAAUAUUUUAUAGGAUAUUAAGAGCACUAAAAUCCAUUGAUGCCUAUUUGUCUCUGAUUAGUUGUUACUUAUCCAAAGCAUCGUUGAGGCACAGACCGUGUAGUUAUUAUACAUACCUUGACCAUGUGAGUGCUGUAGAUACUCAUUUGAUACUUUAAGUAGGUACCGUAUAUACUCUAGUAUUAGCCGAUCGGAAUAUAAGCCAAGGCCCCUAAUUUCACCCCAAAAACCUAGGAAAAACCACUGCCGGUCCUUUCGUCAUCCCCCCCCUUUUUGUUUUCUACUCUCCUCCCUAGUUUCUCGGUGGGAAGGAAAGGUGAGCAGGUCCAGGCCAUCCAUCUUUGGCCAUCUAUGCUGCAGGGACCGUCCGGUGGGGGAGGGUUAGUCGUUCUGGGCUGUCCAUCUUCACCGGCAGGCCAUCUUCUCCACUCUGGGCCGGCCACGGACUAGUGACGUUGCCUUGACGACGACUCGCUGUGAUGUCCCUGCGCAUUAACGUCAUUGCAAAGUCACCAGUUCCGGGCUGGAGCUGAGAAGAUGGCCUCCCGGUGAAGAUGAUCAGCCCGGAACGACUAACCCUCCCCACUGGACUGUCCCUGCAGCAUAGAUGGCCGAAGAUGGACGUCCCGGACCGUCCCCUCACAGCUAAGCUCUCACAGCUAAGCCACCCCUCACAGUUCAUCCAAGUAUAAGCCGAGGGGGGCGUUUUCAGCACGAAAAAUCGACCUGAAAAACUCUGCUUAUACUCUAGUAUAUACGGUACUCAUAUCUGUAGUCUGUCUAUGACAUAUACUGCAUAUUCGGCGCUCUACAGAACAUGUUGUGUAAAUGUGAGCACAUCUGCUGACAUUAGUUGUCGUGAUGUCUCAUUGAACUAAAUAUUCUCCCCCCCAUGGGGGACCUUGUGGGCAAAUAUAAAUAAAUAAAUGAAACUCUAUAAAUAUCAUAUCUUUUUAGGUCAGUGGCUCGUAUUAUAUAUUCAGGGUUGUUGACAGCUGGCUGUUCAGGAAGACCUAGCAUCAAUGAUUCCAGGAAUUGGGAGUAGUAGGUUCAAUACAUUUACUUAUUGCCAUAAGUAAUGCUUGCAGUGUGUAUGCGUUUUAUUAUUGUCACUGCUUAUCUUCAGCAGGGCUGUUGUCACUGGCAGUGAUAGUGUGAGCUCUUAUCUGAAGUUGUCACCUGGAAAGGAGCUAUGUUAUUGAGAAAAAUGAGUCUGUCAUAUCUAAAUGUGUUUCUCCAAUUCCUGUGUGCUUAGAUAGCACAGCAUAAUAUGUAACUGCUGUUAAAUUAUAUUUCUUAACCUAUAAAGCAUACAUGAAGGUUAAUUAAUGUGAAACAAUACAUCGGUUUGCAGCCAUCUACCUGCUAAUCUGAAUAUCCCCACUUAAGUUAUGUGGGACUAUAUACUUCAUAUACUUAUAUACUCAACCAUACUUCAGUUGCACUCAUUUAAAAUGUAAAUGGUUUUUCUAUAGGUUUAAGCUGCUUGUGUAAUAAACCCAGACAACCAGUCUAUCUAGCAGUAAGCUUUUAUAUACCUCUGAUUUUUUUUCCUGGUUAAAAUAAAUAAAAAAUAAUAAAGAAAAUAAUAAAAAUUAUACAAUUUUAUGUAUUUUUUUAUUCGUCAAUAGCACUUUAUAACUUUGCUCAAGCUUUAUUGCAUUCUAUGGUAAAUCUUUCUGAAUGUGGCAUCACACAACUGUGAGGAUCCACUUCAAUCCAUCAUCUUAGACAGCGUUUGACAACUAGUGUGCCUCCAGCUGUUGCAAAACAGCUGGAGGCAUACUGGUUGGGAAACGCUGAUCUAAGGUUGUUAAAAAGUCCAACUUUUAUUGAAACUUCAGUAAAAUAAGAACAGUGGCCUAUUGCAAAAAUAUGAACUUAAGCAGAUGUUCAUCUAUAUUGUUAUUUACAUGGAUUGUAUCUUGUCCAUGCACCAAAGCAAUUGUAGUCUCACACUUCAGAUGUUUAUGGAUGUUUUUUUUUUUUUAAGUUGCCUAGUAUCUGUAUUAAUUUUGUUUGAAUAUCUGGAAUAUACAAAUAUUUACUAAAUCAGAAGACCUGUCUGCAUUAUCCUGUGUACCUGCUUAACAGGUUUUAUGUUCUUUGUUUGAUUGGGUUAGCAGUGUAUCUACACUCUUAUCAGACUUUAUUUGUUCGUAGUACCAUCCUUGUUAGGAAACUCAUGACCUUCUUAACAAGCUAAAUAAGUCACCCCCAUAAGUGUUUUGGAGGAUGGAAAAUUUCAAAGUAAAUACCUAUAUGUUUACCUCCAUUACUGACUUUAUUAGACAAAACAAUACCUACCCUAUGGGGACACAUGCCACCAAAUUGUGUUUAACUUAUGACAUUAAAUAAAUAUCUCAUUAUAACAGUUUUUAUCUUCUUUUUUCAAUUAUAAUAAGAAUUUUAAUCUGACCAUAAAUAAUGAUAGAAUAUAGAUAUUUUCUUCAGGAGCUGCCAUUUUCUUGCCCAGGUAGCGCAGUUAGAAGGGUGCAGUUAAUGUAAUUUUUGUUCCUUCUGUCUUAUGUGUUUCCAUAAUGUUAAAGGGGUAUUCAGCAUUUCACAAAAAAUCAUAUAUUGCUGGGGUCCAGUGACCAAAAGGAGCACAUUUGAAUCUACAUGAGACCACCAGGGGUAGGUAAGUAUAGCUAACUUUCUAAGGCCAAAGUAAAAUAGGUUGUUUUUUUUUCAAAUGCUCGUGUAAAAUAACCCUUUAGGUGUACAUUCACGCAUCCAUAUUUUGCUGCUGAUUUUGCUACCCAUUGACUUAAAUGAGAAGGAAAAAUCAAGCAAAGAAUCUGCCGAAAAAGACUUGUCAAAAUGCGCACGUGUUAGCAUACCCUUUUGGGUAUGUGCUUUUGGUAUGUGCUUUUGGCCAAAUAGAGAUAUAUAAGUUACUUUUAACAACUUUAGGUGUGGACUUUUUUUUUCUGUAGCUUAAACAAUUAAGAAUGGGGCCAUCCAUGUUGACAGACUAUACUCAUAAUUGGUGUAUGGUAUAUACCUUAAUUUUGAUCCACGUAAGUAGUAUUAGUUUUACCCUCCAGAAUAUGGAGCGUCAAAGUCAAAACUCUUUUAACUGAAGUUUAACACUAAUUUAUCCAUAUGUCAAGCUAUGCAUUCAUGAUGGGGAGCAUACAAAAAAGCUUGACUCUCUACCCCUUUGUGAAUACCAUUUCAUAUAGAGGGGUGAUUCAUGAGAGCAAACUAGGUAAAUAUGGUUUGAGUAUAGUUGGAUUUAGAAUACUGGUGAGACCUUUUAGCCAAACUAAUAAAGGUUAUUAGCUUUUACAUUGUAGUUAAGGUGGAUAACACCAGUUAUUUCAUCUAUCAUUAGCUCAAAUGUCAACUUUAAUGUCUUGUUACAAAUUCAUCUUAUAUACAAAUAUUGACUGUUUCUGUUUGUUCCUUUUUAUGAUAGUUAUUAACCCAAUGUGCAAGUCCAUUUAUUUAAAUACGCUACUUUUUAUGCCUUUAAUAAUAGUGCAAAACCUUUUGUUAGACAUAGUUACUACAAUAUAAUACAAAGAGAGAACCUUUACAAAUGUGUAUGAUCUUUAUAGAUAUUAAUGAAAUAGUGCAAAAUGAAGCCAGCAGCAUAUUAAAUUAUUGUAAAACUAAAGCGCCACUGCCCUAGUCAGUUAACUAGAACCUUGAAGAGAGAUGAGUGGCCCCUUGGUAAAUUGUCAGGAAGUCAAAUCUUAAAUUUUCAAAUCCAGACAUGUUUUAACUAAGAUAGCAAGUCUUCCACUGUAGUUUUAAAGGGGUACUCCGGUAUCCCAUUUCUUUAUUUGUCUAGCAUGCUUGUUGUUACUUAAGCCCUUUUGUAAUUGACAUGUGUUAUUUUAUUUUUUGUUACCCCAACAUGUGUGUAUUCUACUGACCUGUUAUUUUGUCCGGCACUUCAGUAGUUUUUUGUGCUGUGUCUUUUUGUCAUCCACACUUACGGCCAUGUUUUUUUUUAUCUUGAGACAAGACGUCAGGUCUGCGGGCAUUGCUGGUGUUUUAUUUUUUAUUUUUUUU